CUGACUAGUGACUGGUGUUCUGUGGAUUAUUCAUUUUAACCCUCAAAAACUGGUCAUUGAAGAUUUGAGUAAGAAAGAUUUCUGGAUUGAUAUGUCCAGUCAGUUCGUUUGAAACAUGGAUAUUAUUGAGGAAAGGACUGAUUUUCUUCCCUUCCUGUAAUAUGAGAAACGGGUUUUCUUCACUGAUAUCCUAAAUUAAAAUUAGUGAUUGGAUAUGAUAUCAGUAUUAGGAUGGAAAAGAAUGCCUUUUCCAUACACGGGGUAUUUAAUAAUUAUUGGUGAAUGAUUUUUGUUCAUAUCGGACCCUCCGUCACCACUCUGACAUUUUCUUCUUGUCAAUUUCACAUUCA